rnacentral:rRNA from 1 species
GACGAACGCUGGCGGCGCGCCUAACACAUGCAAGUCGAACGAGCGAGAGAGAGCUUGCUUUCUCAAGCGAGUGGCGAACGGGUGAGUAACGCGUGAGGAACCUGCCUCAAAGAGGGGGACAACAGUUGGAAACGACUGCUAAUACCGCAUAAGCCCACAGCUCGGCAUCGAGCAGAGGGAAAAGGAGUGAUCCGCUUUGAGAUGGCCUCGCGUCCGAUUAGCUAGUUGGUAAGGUAACGGCUUACCAAGGCGACGAUGCAUAGCCGAGUUGAGAGACUGAUCGGCCACAUUGGGACUGAGACACGGCCCAA